UGCCGCGUGCAGCAAGACGGCCCUCUGGGUUGUAAACUGCUUUUAUUCGGGAAUAAACCUAGAUACGUGUAUCUAGCUGAAUGUACCGAAGGAAUAAGGAUCGGCUAACUCCGUGCCAGCAGCGGCGGUAAUACGGAGGAUCCAAGCGUUAUCCGGAUUUAUUGGGUAUAAAGGGUGCGUAGGCGGCCUGUUAAGUCAGGGGUG
rnacentral:rRNA from 1 species